UACGGAGGGGGCAAGCGUUGUUCGGAAUUACUGGGCGUAAAGGGCGCGUAGGCGGCCGGUUGCGUCGGAUGUGAAAGCCCUGGGCUCAACCCGGGAAUGGCAUUCGAUACGGGCUGGCUUGAAGUCGGAAGAGGAGAGUGGAAUUCCCAGUGUAGAGGUGAAAUUCGUAGAUAUUGGGAAGAACACCGAUGGCGAAGGCAGCUCUCUGGUCCGACCUUGACGCUGAGGCGCGACAGCGUGGGGAGCAAACAGGAUUAGAAACCCCCGUAGUCC
rnacentral:rRNA from 1 species